CGUGUAGGCGGUCUGCUAAGUCAUGUGUGAAAGCCCUCGGCUUAACCGAGGAACGACGCAUGAAACUGGCAAGCUAGAGUACCAAAGAGGGGGGUGGAAUUCCCGGUGUAGCGGUGAAAUGCGUAGAUAUCGGGAGGAGCACCGGUGGCGAAGGCGGCCCCCUGGUUGGAUACUGACGCUGAGACGCGAAAGCGUGGGGAGCAAACA
rnacentral:rRNA from 1 species